GCCUGUAUUGCACCAAUUGGCUAGUGCGUCGGUCUUGUAAACCGAAGGUUGGCAGUUCGAGUCUGUCUGCAGGCA